GUUAAACGGCCGCGGUAUUUUGACCGUGCAAAGGUAGCGCAAUCACUUGUCUUUUAAAUGAAGACCUGUAUGAAUGGUGGAACGAGGGCUUAACUGUCUCCCCUUUCAAGUCAAUGAAAUUGAUCUGCCCGUGCAGAAGCGGACAUACAAAUACAAGACGAGAAGACCCUUUGGAGCUUAAGACACAAGAUCAACUAUGUCAAUGUAAUAAAAAUAUUAAAAUAAACUAAAUAGGGUAUGAUCCUCGUCUUCGGUUGGGGCGACCACGGAAGAAAACAAAGCUUCCAUGAGGACUGGGGCCAUAGGCCCUAAAACCAAGAAAGACAUUUCUAAGUAACAGAACAUCUGACCACUAAGAUCCGGCCAACUAGGCCGAUCAACGGACCAAGUUACCCUAGGGAUAACAGCGCAAUCCCCUUUAAGAGUCCAUAUCGACAAGGGGGUUUACGACCUCGAUGUUGGAUCAGGACAUCCUAAUGGUGCAGCCGCUAUU
rnacentral:rRNA from 1 species